rnacentral:ribozyme from 14 species
UCCUGUACCUACAUUCUUCUUUUUUCUUUUCUUCUUUCUCCUCUCUCUCUCUGCGUCCAUGAAAAAAACCAAGAAGGCAAUACUA